rnacentral:rRNA from 1 species
UACGAAGGGGGCUAGCGUUGCUCGGAAUCACUGGGCGUAAAGCGCACGUAGGCGGAUUGUUAAGUCAGGGGUGAAAUCCUGGAGCUCAACUCCAGAACUGCCUUUGAUGCUGGCGAUCUUGAGUCCGGGAGAGGUGAGUGGAACUGCGAGUGUAGAGGUGAAAUUCGUAGAUAUUCGCAAGAACACCAGUGGCGAAGGCGGCUCACUGGCCCGGUACUGACGCUGAGGUGCGAAAGCGUGGGGAGCAAACAGG